ensembl:lncRNA novel transcript
UUUCUUAGCUGGAUGGGUGAAGUGUUCCCUCAGUUCACAUAGACCAGGCUUCCUCUUUAGAGGCAUAAGCUGUAAAACAGGAGAGUCUGUUUUAAGAGGAUCUGUUUGAAGUUUAAUGUAACUGAAGUCCAUGCACCUGAAGCCAUUAAUUGAUAUAAGUGAAGUAAGUCUUUGGGUUUCCGGUAGCUCUGACUCAGAUUCUGCUUGCCUCUUCUCCAUGAGAUUACCAAGGCAUCAGGGCAGAGACUCCCUGAGGCUAUGCUAGAAGGGUACCAUUUGAAAAGGAAGUGUAUGACCCACCGUGAAAUGGAACUGGUAGCUGGUCACCCAGGUGCUCUUCCUUGUUAACUGAUGAGAGCGAUUAUUAUGUGAGAACUUUAACAACCUGCCAAAGGAUCCCGGGGCAAGAAUGAGAGCUGAACCAUUGAAAAGCUGAGCAUCGAAGUGCCUGGGAAGCCCAAAACUCAGCACAUUCAUGCUUUUGCUGGUUUUUGACCAUUGAGAAGAAAAAAGAGUCAGCAACCAGGGAGCAGGAUGAGUGGAUCUGGUUCAGAACAUCUGUGAACACAGAGGGAGUGGAAACUUCACUUUCAACAUCAUCAGCCAACUUCCCUCCCAUUACAAUUCUAUCUCAAGAUCAAGGUCAUGCAACAAAACCAGCAGGUGUGAUUCUUUCUCUCCGAUCAACUCACUUUGUUUUUUCUAUUUUUAUGCUCUCUUGAGCACUGUAUAAUUAACUUCCAUAAUGGCUCUAAAACUACUAGGUAAACAUAUUUAACAAGCUUCUAUCCAUAUUGAUAGAGAGGAAAUAUGUUAACUAUCAGAUGUCAGAGAGGAAAUAUGUUAAUGAUCCUGGGAUAUACACCAAUACUAAUGGAUUAUUGGUAGAAAUAUCAAUUGACUGCCCUGCAGAUUCUAAGCCAACUUUGGCCACUUCUUCUUUGAAGGAAAUGAUGACAGUGAUAAAAAAAAAAAAAAAAAAAAAAAAAAAGCAGCAAGCUCCUGCAGGCAUUCCUGAGAAAUUCAGAGGGAUUUCCUGUACUCUGCAAAGACCAUGACACAAUGUGGCCAUAAUCCUAACUCUCAUGCUGCUGCUGAAAGUGGAAGCAGAAGGAUACAAACAAACCAAACCCUUGGUUCAAGCAACAAGCAUUUAUUGAAUACCUGCUGUGUGCCAGAACUAGUCUAGGCACGUUGAAGGCAAUUGAUGCAGGACUUCCAAUAGCUUCCCAUCUCACUCAAAGUAAAGGCCAAAGACAUUACAGGGACCUAGAAAGAUCUUUCCUCCACUUCACUCCACUCUAGCCACAAUGAUGUCCAUUCUGUUCUUCCAAUACACUGUGCAUAGUAUCUCCUGAAAACCUUAUCUCACAUGGUUCUCUCCACCUAGGAAGCUCCAAUCCCAGAUACCUGCAUGGCUUGACCUCUCUUUCCAACCAAUCUUUACCCAAAUACAGCCUCCUCAGAGAGGUCUUCCUGAGCCACAUUUGCAAAGUUAAAUCACCCCUAUGCAGUUCCUAAUCUAUUUCUUUGCUUUACUUCCUUCCUUAACACUUGUCAUUCUCUCACAUAGUAUAUAUCUCACCCAUUAUAAUCUGUCUCUAUAAUUAGACUAUAAAAUUUAGGUAAGUGGGGCUUUGGGGUUUUGUUUUGUUCACUGCUAAAUCCCAAAAAAAGAGCCUUGCACAUAAUAGCCAUUUAAUAAAUAUUUUUGCAUUAAUUGACUAAUAAAA